rnacentral:rRNA from 1 species
GACAGAGGGUGCAAACGUUGUUCGGAAUUACUGGGCGUAAAGCGCGUGUAGGCGGCCUCGCAAGUCGGAUGUGAAAGCCCUCGGCUCAACCGGGGAAGUGCAUUCGAAACUGCAAGGCUAGAGUCCCGGAGAGGAUAGUGGAAUUCUCGGUGUAGAGGUGAAAUUCGUAGAUAUCAGGCGGAAGACCACGUGGCGAAGGCGGCCUUCUGGACGGUAACUGACG